CUUUUGUGUGUUCCUAAGUGUGUGGAGUGACUCAAAUUUUAGCACAGAAAGUAAAGUUAGAAAGCAACUGCUAUUUGCCAACAACCCAUUCUUUAAUUCUCAAAGAUCAAAAAUUUGCUUGAAAACUGACAUUUUCAUUUUCUCCUGGCCCAGUGAACAAAGUUUUAAGGUUAUGUGGUCGCUCUGAUACCACCUAAGAAGCAAAUAUUUCUUGCAGUCUACUUCUAGAUGUGAAUGAACUGAAAGUAAAUGACUCAGAGAUGGAGUAAAUGUCCCUUGAAAUACACCCAAACUUAAUAAUUAGGAGAAGAGUGCUUGAAUAAACACAUUUAGAGUGUUAUUGAGCAUAUACAAGCUUAGAUGGUCCAUAUUUCUAAAAGACAGUGAGUCUAUAGCACAUUCUUCGGAGAUGAGAAAAUUAUGCCAUAAAUAAAAUUUGUAGUGGAGGCAUUUGUUUUAUCAUUCAGUUAAGUAGCAGGAAUUCUUUCAUACCUAGAGGGACUUAGGUAAAACUAAUAAACAGACAUACUUAACAACAAGAACAACAACAACAAAAAUAAAGCAUUACCAUUCAAGAGUGUGAAAUCACUUCUCUGAGAGCCUUUUUGGAUUGAAUAUUCUUUUUGGGCUGGUAAUGUCAAACUAAAACUUUACCUAAACACAGAUAACUAGGUGGCUCUUAGCAUACCUUUCAGGGCUUAUGGUCUCCAAUUAUUCCACUCACAUCCCCCUAUACAUUUCCAAAUCACCUCUUUCAGUGUCUCCAGUGUUUAAACAUGAACUGGAUAGAGUGUUGCAUGGUAGUAUUAAAUAAAAUUUAGCUUAAAGCUGUUUCCUUACAUAUUAUAAGUUCUGUCUAAAGGUUUCUACGUGCAUAGUAUACAUGUCAUUGAAAGUGUAAAUGGACUAUAACCUACUCUGAUACCAAUCACUGAGUUGUGGCCAAUCAAAGGUGGCCAACUGCUCAAACCACAUUCAAAUAUGGCAAAUGCUGAGCUGUAACCAAUCCCGUUGUUUCUGUACCUCAUUUCUGUUUUCUCUCUGUCACUUUUCUUUUUCUUUCCAUAAAUCUUCUUCAACCACCUGGCAGUGCCAGAGUUUCUCUGAACCCAUUCUGGCUUGGGGGAUGCCUGAUUCAUGAAUCAUUCUUUGCUCAAUUAAACUCUGUUUAAUUUAAUUUGUCUAAGGUUUUUCUUUUAACAGUAGAGAUAGGAGUACAACACACUUUGAGGUGUACAGGAGUGAGUUCAAAUCCUAGCUCUGUUAUUGGCUUGAUUUCUCAUCUUGAGCAAGGUACUUAGUUUCUCUGAGCCUUAGUUUCUGCACUUGUAAAUGUGGAGAAGUGAAACACCAGACUUGAGAGGAUGCUCUGCUAUCUGAACGAGGUAAUGGGAAAAUGCUCGGCCAGUGUUGUAACUCAAUCUUCUUAUCCAACAGUGAGCCCCUUGGGCACCCAGACCCAGACUCGCCCUUCUAGUCUCACGUCUUGCACUCUCUGGCACAUCUCAUGUAGGCUCUGUUGCCUGUCAUGUUUUCCAGUCCACAAAUACCCUUGGCAUGCUCUCAUGUCUGUACUUGGUCCACAUUAUUCUAACGUGAAUACAUGAAACUUCUAAUGACAGUGCAAUCUUUCUAGACAAUCUCUGAAGGAGAAAUGUUACUAGUCUGUGGUGAAUAUAAAAAUAGGCUCAUAGGGAAAAAAAACUGUGAUUGAAGGUAUAAUUCUGCAUUUUCUUGGGAUAUACAUAAAUAGCAAGUAGUCAUUUUUUACUUAAAAAAAAAAAAAGAAAUCUACAGAAAGAAAAUUUAGCUGUCUUUCUGUUGCUAACCUUCCAGGAGGCCUUGGUUCUCCUUUAAGGUUGAAGUUCGUUUGUGACAGGUUAGUGCUGCUCAUUUUUGUGGCUUUCCAGAAGCCACCGUGGAAAAGGCAGAAGUCUUCCCCUCCCAUUAUGCUGAGUCAGACAUGGCAUCUACAUGACUCAUCACCAAGUGGUUCUCCAGAAUUCACUUUGCUUGCUUUUCCCCAAUCCAGAUAAUCCUCGGGACUGGUAGCCACCCAACUCACUCCUGCACACUGUUCUUCCUCUUUGGAGGCACCCACCAUGCCUGUCUGAUGCUGCCCCUCAAGGUCACAUCGGAGUCUCCUGUACCUACCUUGUCUGUGGCUACCCAACUCUAUACAAUUUCUGAAGCUUUCAUAACACCCAGAUGGUCUAUAAUGUAAUAUGUGUUUAGAUAAUCCUCAGGCCAAAACAUCUUUCCAAAAUUUAACUGUAAAUCUGUCACUUCCAUGGGUUAUGUUAGUCUUUUCCAUGUUCAAAUGGCUAUCUGAGCUCCUGGGGAGGGGAAGUCACUCCCGGAGUUCUCUUUCCAUCAUUCAUAGUGUGAAUCUCACCUUGGGCUGGGAGGAAUUUGUGAUGGGCAUACAAGUGAGAAAAAGGGUGCAAAGGGGUGAGAUGGUAUGUUAGUCAGGGUUCUCUAGAGGGACAGAAUUAAUAGGAUAGAUGUAUAUACAAAGGGGAAUGUAUUAAGGAGUAUUAACUCACGAGAUCACAAGGUAAGGUUGCAUAAUAGGCCAUCUGCAACCUGAGGAGCAAGGAAGCCAGUCCAAGUCCCAAAGCUGAAGGACCUUGAGUCCAAUGUUUGAGGGCAGGAAGCAUCCAGCAUAUGGGAGAAAGAUGUAGGCUUGGAGGCUAAGCCAGUCUAAUCUUUUUUUUUUUUUUUGAGAUGGAGUUGCCCUCUGUCACCCAGGCUGGAGUGCAGUGGCGUGAUCUCAGCUCACUGCAACCUCCGCCUCCGCCUCGCAGUACCUGAGAUUACAGGUGCAUGCCAACACGGCUAAUUCUUGUAUUUUUAGUAGAUACAGGGUUUCACCAUGUUGGCCAGUUGGUCUGGAACGAACUCCUGACCUCAAGUGAUCCGCCCACCUCAGCCUCCGAAAGUUCUGCGAUUACAGGUGUGAGCCACUGUGCCUGGCCAAGCCUAAUCUUUCCACGUUCUUCUGCUUGCUUUUAUUCUAGUUACACUGUCAGCUGGUUAGAUGGUGCCCUCCCAGAUUGAAGGUAGAUCUGCGUUUCCCAGUCCACUGACUCAAAUGUUAAUCUCCUUUGGCAACGCCUUCACAGACACACCCAGAAUCAAUACAUUGCACCCUUCAAUCCAAUCAAGUUGACAUCCAGUAGUAACCAUCACAGAUGGCUAAUACGGGAGAUAUUCAUGAAGGGUCUGGGAAGGGGAUUUGGAAGAGAUAUGGACACAAAGGAAGGAGGAAAGAAAAGGGGAAGUGAGACGGGAACCAAACCAAACACCCUGUAUUGCACAAUUGAGCCUGGAGUUGGCCUGCUCGCCACAGAGCAGUCACAGGUUUUCAGGAUGCUUUAGUGAUAGCAGCCAUCAGUACCUCUCAUUAGGAGCAAAAGCCCUGAUUGGUAAUAGUAUAUUCUACUUAUUUAGAGAAUAAAAGUUCCCUGUUAGAACCAGCCUUCUCAGAAUGGCAUUCAGCUUUUCAGAAAAGCACAGCACCAGCAUAUUUCUUAUCUGCCUUGAAGGUUAUAAUAAAUCCCUUCUUCUGUUAAUUCAUAAAUCCUUCAGCCACAUGCCAUUUUGGGGCCAUAUGCUUUCUUUCCUCCCUCUAACCCUUGGAAAGAUCUUUCAUAUCCAAUCUCUGUAGAUAAUCUGAAUGUGAAAUCAGGUAUGGUUAUCUAAUCCCUCUAAUCAGAAGGUCAGCAGUUACCUGCAGCUUUUCCAUCUGUCCUCCAGCUGAAUGCUGCCAUUUAGUAAAUCAAAAAUUGGUUACAAAUUAGCAAAGCUGACUGGCUCAAUGAAAUCUAGCCUGGAGUCUUUGCUGGAAGGGGGGAAGUUUAAAUAUGGUUUGAAGGGAGAUUUGAGGUGAACUCUAUUUAUCAAAGCCGUGGAGUAGCAGCAUAAAAGAUGAGAGAUGUUCUCCUGGGUAAAAAUGUCAAAUCACAUGGGAAAUGGGAAUAUUUCACAUGGUGAUUACUGAAUUUUACAAUUGUUCGCAAAUUGAUUCAGCCCAGAAAUCAACUGGGAAGUCUCCCACAGGUGUCUAGCACUCUGCAGGUAUUAGCGUGAUACAGGGUAAGUCUCAAAGUACAAAAAAAAACACACAUGUGAAACAAUUUGCAAACAAUGAAGUGCUAACCUGUGUGGUGUGAAUUACAGAUGCAUUAGGACACCAGAAAAGGAAGAAAAGACAGUGGCAGCUGAAGACAUUUCAGGAAUGCUUCACUGAGAACCUAAGUCUUGUUCUGGGCCAUAAAGAAAAGGGGAGGGUGUGGUUUCUAUACCAGAGAUAAGAAAGGAGAAAAUUGGACGUGGAGGAAAGAUAUGAGUACCAAUCCGAGCGAACAAGGAAGAGUGAGUAAAUCUGUCCAGCUGGAGUUGGAGGUACAUUCUGGAAAAUGGUGAGAGAGGCUGUGUAGGGUAGGGGGACACGGAAAGAUGGGCCAAGACAUUUGGAGCUGAUAUUUGAUAUGGUUUGGCUGUGCCCCCACCCAAAUCUCAUCUUAAAUUGUAAUCCCCAUAAUCCCCACGUGUCGAGGGAGGGACCCGGUGGGAAGUGAUUGGAUCAUGGGGGCAGUUUUCCCCAUGGAAUUCUCGUGAUAGUGAGUGAGUUCUCACGAGAUCUCAUGGUUUUACAAGCGUCUGGUAUUUCACCUGAUUGCACUUCUCUCUUCUGCCUCCUAGUGAAAAAGGUGCCUGCUUCUCCUUCUGCCAUGAUUAUAAGUUUCCUGAGGCUUCCCCAGCCAUGCGUAACUCUCCUUCCCAUUUAUGAGAGAGCCACAUGACAUCAGCCCAUAGACUGUGGAGAGUAUUCCAGAUCUAUCACAUUCUGCGAUUCUGCGAUUCCCAGAAGGCUGGUCAUGAAAAAAUUCCCUCUUCAGUUUACAUAUAUGGCAGUGGCACUUCUAGAUAUCUGUUGAGGCCUGGAAGGGGCAAAACAAUUCAGGAAGCAGUUGAAGAUAAAGGGGUUUACCAUGGAAGAGAAGAUCCAGGUGCCUUCAUGGAAAUGCUUGUGGUUGAAAAGAGAUGAAGAUGAGGGUCCCUGGAAAGAGGAAGAACCAGCCAGGAAAAUUAUACCAUUAGCAAGACUGGCAUCAGCAAGUAGUUCGCAGUGUUGGUUGUUCUUGGUUUCGCAGGAUUUUAUAGGAGAUGAGAAAACAAGGCAACAAGGUUAAGUGGCUUCCUGAAUUUUUCCUAUCGGGUCUGAGGCCUGCAGGAUGGGAGUCUGGCCCCCAGCAUGGCCUGCCUGGCAUGGCUCCCUCAGUUCUGCUCCCAGCUUCACAUGCUCCACUAAUUGGGGAUGGGUACCCCUGGUGUUCUUGAAAAUUAAUGAUAUUCAAAGCUACAAGAUGUAUCUGUUGUAGUCUAUGUUUGUUUACUUGUGGCAAUUAGUGACCAUCUGCUCUGGAGGUGAUGGUAUUAGGCCCUCUUUUGGAAAUAGUAACUUCUAGGAAGGAGACGCCCAGGCUAUUAGGGAAGGAGGGCUGACAAAUGAAUGGGGUCUCGGGUUCUCCAGAGGGUGGAGAGACUGCAUGUCAGACAUGUAAGGAAAAAAGCAAACUGAGUCAUUUAUUCUCUUCUCUUGUUGCCUCUCCUUUUUCUCUAUCUUCUGUCAUCAAAUCAUGGUUACUUGCCCAGAGUUUCUGUCAGGCCUUUGAGCCCAAGCUAAGCCAUCAUACCCCUGUGACCUACACGUUAUACAUCCAGAUGGCCUGAAGCAAUUGAAGAUCCACAAAAUAAGUGAAAAUAGCCUUAACGGAUGACAUUCCACCAUUGUGAUUUGUUUCCACCCCACCCUAACUGAUACAUAUAUUCUCCCCCACCCUUAAGAAGGUACUUCGGAAUGUUCUCUCCCGCUCUUAAGAAUGUGCUUUGUAUGCCUAUCCCAAACCUGUAAGAACUAAUGAUAAUCCCACCACCCUUUGCUGACUCUUUUUUUUGGACUCAGCCCAUCUGCACUCAGGUGAAAUAAACAGCCUUGUUACUCACACAAAGCCUGUUUGGUGGUCUCUUCACAUGGAUGUGCGUGACAUUUGGUGCCGUGACUAGGAUUGGGGGCCCUCCCUUGGGAGAUCAAUCCCCUGUCCUCCUGCUCUUUGCUCCAUGAGAAAGAUCCACCUACGACUUUGGGUCCUUAGACCAACCAGCCCAAGGAACAUCUCACCAAUUUUAAAUCGGGUAAGCAGCCUCUUUU
rnacentral:lncRNA from 1 species